AAGUCCCUGUCGGGUAAGGGCUAACCUCCCACCCGUAUCAAGUGUUGCGCCCAUGGCGGAGCCGAAGUUAUUUUGGAAAAAAAAAACUUCGUAAGGCGAACAAAAUGGGUGAAGCGUACACAGAGAAUUGUGCAGGCCGUAGGGCGUUCGCAGCGCCUGAAAGUUGGAACAGCGUCGAAACGCAAAUUGAGAUUGACGAGGGUUUUAACGUACACCGAAGUCAACACAGACACAUCCGUCAUGGUAAGGAUGUGAAGGAUCUCCGGCGUCA
rnacentral:ncRNA from 1 species